GUGCCAGCCGCCGCGGUAAUACGUAGGGAGCAAGCGUUGUCCGGAAUUACUGGGUGUAAAGGGAGCGUAGGCGGGAUGGCAAGUCAGGUGUGAAAACUAUGGGCUCAACUCAUAGAUUGCACUUGAAACUGUUGUUCUUGAGUGAAGUAGAGGUAAGCGGAAUUCCUGGUGUAGCGGUGAAACGCGUAGAGAUCGGGAGGAACACCAGUGGCGAAGGCGGCCUGCUGGGCUUUAACUGACGCUGAAGCACGAAAGCAUGGGUAGCAAACAGGAUUAGAUACCCUGGUAGUCCAUGCCGUAAACGAUGAUUACUAGGUGUGGGGGGUCUGACCCCUUCCGUGCCGGAGUUAACACAAUAAGUAAUCCACCUGGGGAGUACGACCGCAAGGUUGAAACUCAAAGGAAUAGGCGG
rnacentral:rRNA from 1 species